rnacentral:rRNA from 1 species
GACGAACGCUGGCGGCGUGCUUAACACAUGCAAGUCGAACGGAAAGGCCCCUUCGGGGGUACUCGAGUGGCGAACGGGUGAGUAACACGUGGGUAAUCUGCCCUGCACUUCGGGAUAAGCCUGGGAAACUGGGUCUAAUACCGGAUAGGACCAAAAGGCGCAUGCCUUGUGGUGGAAAGCUUUUGCGGUGUGGGAUGGGCCCGCGGCCUAUCAGCUUGUUGGUGGGGUGACGGCCUACCAAGGCGACGACGGGUAGCCGGCCUGAGAGGGUGUCCGGCCACACUGGGACUGAGAUACGGCCCAGACUCCUACGGGAGGCAGCAGUGGGGAAUAUUGCACAAUGGGCGCAAGCCUGAUGCAGCGACGCCGCGUGGGGGAUGACGGCCUUCGGGUUGUAAACCUCUUUCACCAUCGACGAAGGUCCGGGUUUCUCGG